UUCGAUUCGUGUUAUUUUUCAGCAUUGAGACUUAAUAAAUUACAAAUUACAUAAAUUUAAUUUUAAUUUCUUUUACUUAUACAGCCUGAACAUUUUUACCUACAUAUAUGAAGCAUAAACAAAUGAAAAAUUAACUAGUUCCUUUUGUGGACCGGAAUUAAACGGAGCGAUCACUAAAAGGAACUGAAAUGCCCACCUCUACUGCCAAAGGCCCUAAAAGUAAAUAACAUGUGGUACAUAGAUAUGGCAGCUACAUCUAAACAUACCGAUGAAAUUCGGCAGCAAUAUCGAGAGCUAUAAGAAAGUCAUACGUGUAGAGUUUUGUGAGAAUCGGUUAACAUUAUAUCAAUAUUAGUCCAAGUCAGGCGAAUAUAUAUACCUAUUAUGAGAGCGAUAUAUCCAAAUCUGAAAGUCAUGGACAAAGGAUGGACCGAAGGGAGGACGCAGAGACAGACGGAUCAAAAAACGAAUGGAAGAAUAAAAGGACGUAUGAAAGAACUGAAGUAAGGACAGAUGGUGCGGACUAAUGAACGGACCGGAGAGCUUAAUCGACUCUUCCAUCGGUGUAACAAACAAAUAUUCUAAGUUAUAAAACCCUAUACCUACAACUUCUGAAGUGCAAUCAACAUCUUCAGAAAAUAACCCAAUGAAUGUUAAAUGUGCCAUCUGUUCCAGUUUGUAUAAAGUUUUUGAAUGAAACUUAUCAAUAAAACAAAAGCGGUAAGUUUCACCACUUUUGAUAAGAUUAUCAUCAUAGAAUCUGUAUGUUUUACAAUUUCAAUGGCAAACUAAUCAACAUUUUUAAACAAUGUACAAUGUAGAACAUAUGUACGUACAAAAAAAUAAAUAAAACCUAAAAACUGUCUAUUCCACUUCAAAAAAAGUAAACAAUGGAUUGUUCGUUUGGUCUCCUUUAUUUCCCUUCCCCCAUUCCGUCGCUAACAAAAACUUCACUUAACCAUACCGAAACUUCACUGUCAUUAAAUUAUAAGCCAGAGAAAGUUUAAUGUAACUUCUUGAGGAAUUGGAUAAACAAAAUAAAUAUUGUGUAAAAAAUGGCUUGUUGCAUUUACACUUUCCCAUGUACGCACACCACCCAUUAUGAUGGAUGUACAUGUGUAUGUAAGUACAUAGCUAUGCAUUUACAAUACACAGACACGCAACUGACAUUUGUUAUUUUUUAUUUUUCUGUGUAUUUGGCACACACAACGCACGAAGCCAACAUUACGAAAGGAACAACUGAACAUCUAACAGAAAGAAAAUCUAUCCAAAAAUAGCAUUGAAUGUCAACUAAGAAAUAAAAUAAAUUAAAGAGUUUGUGUAGCAGCCUUGACUUGGCGCUGCUCACUCGUCGCCCACUUAUCAUCAACACAGCCAACCAUUAAGAAAUUGUCCAACAAAUUGAGGGUCAUGAAUAACACAAAAAUUAUAAGGUCAAUUAGGGCUAAUAGGCGUAUUUCAUCAAAGGUAAAUAACCUACCUUGCAUCCAAGAUAGAUGGCCAUGCGAACACAAGCACGGACGGCAGCAUUCAUGCCUUGCGAGUCACCUCCGCUGGUAAAGACCGCUAAGCCCUUGCCCUUAUGGGAGCCGCGUUCAAUGAAACGUUGUU